GCCUUGACUUCCUCCCAGGCAAGAACCAAGAGUGCUGUGUUUCAUUUAUUGUUGAGUCAUUCAGUUGACACUCCUAUUCUCAGUGCCUUACAUCUUAAGAUUAAGUUUGAACAGCAUGCAUUUAGUGCCUAUUAUCCUUUAAAAACAUUGAUAUGUGUUUCUUAUGAUUUGGAAGCUGCGGAUGAUUAGAUAUGUUGGCCAGAUUGGGCAUUUAGCCUGGAUACUGGGGUAUAGCCUGCAUACUAUUCUUAUGAUAACUGACGUGUGGUCUUUAGUGACCACGUAGAGUCAGGACACCUGCUUAACCUUCCAUCCAAAAUACUCCUCCAAACGCAGGACAAUGUCACCUUCACUUCCCUGGGACAUUGGGGUGCACAGGCAUAUUAGACAACAGCUCACACUGACCCAAGCAGGGGAAGAGCUGGAUUGGUACGGUGUUACCAAACGUCUCUCUUCAGCCUUCUCUAUAAGCACUUUCAUGUUGCUGACUGAACCAUACAUUCUGCAUCCUUUCUACUCCUGCUGCAUGCUGUACAGAUGGAGGAAAUUAAGCACGUAUGUCUGUCUACAUAAAGGUCUUGUAGACACAAUCCACUGGGCAAAAACGGAUUCAAUCAACAAAAGAAAAAGAGUGGAGAGGAAGGACAGGAGGAAGACCAGACAGGAGGAAGACCAGAC